UCGUUUGCUUUUUUUGCUAAGCACAAUUUUCCUAAAUCAAACAGGCCAGCUCUGCUCAGUCCAGCCCAUUAGCAUGAGCAUUAGUCCUAGGAUUGAAGAAUGGAUUUAAAAGCUUGGCCAGUACCAGAAUGGAACAUCCAUUUUGUUCAUUAUUCAUGGCCCUAAUGUUGCCGGAGCUGCGUUCCGAGAUCGCCUGCUCCGCAAUACUGCUUUUGACAUGCGGAAUUACCAGCCCUUGUUGGCAACCGCAGCAAACCCCCUCCACUCCGGGAAUGCAUCAUUAAUUGUGGAAUUUGGAUACGAGUGGAUGUCCUUACAGUUUCCAGACUCUCACUGUUGAGAAAGCAGAGCCCAUAAAAGGACUCACUGGGGCUAUUUCCUGCUUAGAAAAUACAGAAAAGAAAAACCCAGCGAAAUGUAGCCCACUUUGGACCUAUUGAAGACUGAAGGUCAAGCUCUAACCUCAGCUACUCCACUGCUCGUCCAGAACACAUGCUGAAAAGUUAACAGAAUUACUUCAGACGUUCCCCAGCUCGGCUGAGAUCAGACACUGGCCUGUGCUGUCUGGAGCUGGAGAUAUUCUGAGCCAGACUCUUCACCCUCAGCCUUGGGAACAUUUUCAUAAUGGAACACAAUGUUUGCAAAAACUAGUCCAAAGGUGGCUUCUCCGUCUGUAAAUAUGUCAAGAGCGAAUUGGCAAGGCGACUUCUCCAUCCCUGGAAUGCGCAGGAAAUAGCUGCGACUAUACUUAUCCAUAAAACAAAUAGCUUAAUUCCCACCACCAAAACGCUCGAUGGCAUGUUGUGCUCACAGCAGCGUUGAGGAAAGGCCACAAUACACUGUAUGCCCCAUAAAUGGCUUUUCAAUCUCAGCCCCAGCACUUUGUCAGGAGCUCAUUAAAAGAUGACUGUUCCCUCAGCCUGGCCGUGGGCACACAGAGCAGGAGGUGACUGGAAUGGAACCGCUUCCCCGGCCCCGUGUAAAUGUGUAACGUGGCAGGCGACGCAAAAACCUCCGCUCGGGUUGCCAGUGUUGCCAUACAAAUCAGCACAACGAGACUUGGCAGGAGUUCAGCCAAAUCUGGCACAAACUCCGAGCCAGUUUGUUUCACAGUUGUUAAGAAAAACAAAUCUGUGUGAUGAACGUGCUCCAGAGCACCCACAUCUCUGCUUUGGUUUUGAAAAAGAAAAAGAAAUAAAGCCCAGAUUCUGCUCUGCUUGACUUUGGUGCAAACUCGGAGUAACUCGACCGGCUUCGAUUCUCCCAGACAUACCCCUGCUCUACAAAGCAACGUAAAACAGAGCCAAGAAGCAGAAACUUUGAGGAAGAAGACGGCAAUUUGGGAAUGCAGUGAGGAUGCCAGCUCAACCACAUCAAAGCCAUUAACAAGGCAGAGUCACAACAUUUGAGAAACACCAAACAUCGAAGUUCAGCCAUCAGAAACUCAUGUCGCUGUGGCUUUCAGGAACUCGUACGACCAUGUGUUGGGAGGGGAAUGAGGGCUCAGCUAAAACACAAAAGGCUUAAGAAGAAGAUAUUUUAAACAUGUGCUCUGUAACAAAAAGAGUAGCAUGACUGGAAAUCAUAUGUCAUCAGUACGAUAAAAAGAAAGCCAUGCUAGAUGAAAUUCCAGACAGCGUGGUGGUUGUGCGGAAUCUGUCAGCAGCGUUUGUCACAAAAUAGCCCCCAAUACUCAAUAAUUUGGGCAUAUAUCAUGUCCUCGAAAUGAAGCUAUGCCGGAAGCACAAAAUAGCAGUUGCCUAAAAUAGGGUUUUCUGAGAGCAGUUAGAGGAAGAGCAGGAAUGUGCCACACCAGGGCCCUGCGGCCUGGCCCGCGCGGGGCUGCUGGCUGGGGAGGGACCAGAGCGCUCUUCUCUGCCAUCACACACCCAGCGCAUUACGUAGCCUCCUUUUUAGCUCAGUCAAGCUCCAACUUAAUAAUUAUUAAGACAUUUCUGACACUCCCCCUUUUGCCGAAGGUGGUUCCAGAACCUCCCUGUUCCAUACUUGGAGACCAACCCUGAGUUUCCAACUUAAAUUAAUCCAUAGCCAGCUUACAUACACUUGUCCUCUGGACAGAACUGGGGUUCAAACGGAUUCAAACCUAUUGAAAUUAAUGAGCUUUUUUUCUCCGUUGACUUCAACAAGCCUUGAAUUAAGGCCCUAUGUGUGUGGACAAAAAGGUUUGGGGCAGCUUUUGUAAAAGGAGAGCUUUAUCCUGUUGAUCUUGGCCUCUCUCCUCAGCCUGCUGUGAACUGUCUGCCUUAUUUUAAUGCCGUAUUCUCAUCCUGCUCUAGUGCAAAACUCCUACUAUUGAAAUCCAGGACACUCUCGCCAAGUUGUUAUUAAUUACUGUGGUUCUCAAGGCUCAGUCCUGCAAACUGAUCUGCAUGAGCUCAGAGGUCUGUGUUCCAGGAUCUCCUUUCAGGAUCUGGGCUCCAGGGCUGCAAAACCGAGCACCAAAGGGACUGAUCCCAUCUCCUGAGUUGGGAGGCAGGGGGCUGGCAGGGAAACAGUCCCGUAUGGGCAGCAUUGCCUUGAAACGGAGCUUUCCAGGCCAAAAUAACCAGGCUUUUUGCAUGGUGGGGUUUAAGCACGGUUCAGCUCGGCACAGCCGAGCUCCAUUCCAGAGGCGAUGGGCAGAAGGCUGCGUUACGCUGCGAGAGCCGCCGGCUGGGCAAGGGAACACUGCUGGGGAAUUUGACUUUUGUCGCUGUAGCACAGAGUAUUUCUUAUCCUAAGAAAUGGCAACGUGUCGCACAAGAUGCACGUGAGGUCAGAAGUAUAUCAAUAUGCGGGCAAUUUAUUGUAUUUCCAGCAGUGGGAAAUCCUUCUCUUAUUAUAAAAUGGGCUCUGGAUGAGUUCGCCCUGCCUUCAUUACUGAACCUAGUACUCAGCUGUGCCAGGACCACAUUAAAAGCAAGUUUUGGAUACAUUUGUGUUGUUCAUUUUAGCUGGAUGGUGAAAAAAACUGGAAAAAGCUGCUUUGCAGUGGAAACAGAAAAAUCUCAACUAGUUCUUUAAAAUAGUUAUGAGCUCUUCAAUUAGACCGCAGGCAUUUCAUAAGGCAGGCGGAUCAGGAUGUACUUUACUCCCUGAACCUGAAAUGUUAAAACAGUCAAGUAUUUGCAUAGAAUUUUGUAGGAUGAGCUUAGAUCUCACUAAUCUAGCUAGUCAGAUGCCUGUAAAAAUAAAUAAGAACCUAAAAAAGAAUGACAUCAGCCAUAACUACUUAUUCUGCUCCGGAUUUGGCAGGUAAAAAUCAGCAAGAAACCAAGUGCAUUAUGCUGCCUGGGCUCUGCGCCUAUUUCCCAUCAUGUAGGGAGCCAGGCCAACUCCUUGACACAAUAGCAAUUUUUGCUCAAUGCCAACUAUUCCUAACCUGGCAGUGUUGAUGCAGAGCCGUCUCCUGAGGUCAUGGAACUGUAAUGGCAUCCAAACGGCAGCGAACGUCCCAGCUUUAGGAGGUGAAAUGGCUGUUGCAAAUGAGACCAUUUCCACCGAGUCACUGGAUUCAGACACGAGCUGUCAGAAGACAAGUUACAGCGACAAGAGACAAGGGCUCCCUUAACUGAGUCACAGCUUGUGCCAAGUAGUGGGUAACACAGGGACCAGUGGCUUCCAGAGAGCCUGGAAAACAACCGGAUCAGAAGAAUUGCUAAACACACCAAUAGCAGGUAUCUGUGCAAGCUAUGACAUAGCAACUGUCAGUCACGUUAAGUGACAAGUGACUUCUAUUUAGAUGAGUGCCACUCCGUGCCGUGAUAACAAAAGCAAUCUACUGCACUGCAUCCUGCCAUGGGGACAGGGACAUCUGACAAUGGCACGGUACAGAGUUUAGCUGCUGGAUUGCUAUCCACUGCAAGCACAGAGGGCUUUUCCUCACCUUUGUGGUUGAUCAUCACGUUCUCUGUAUUGAACUGGGGGUGGAAUAACACCGGCUUAAAAUUAUAAACCUACUGAGAUGGACAAGCUAAAUAAAUAAAAUCAUGGUUUUACCUGCCACUAAGCAGCAUGCCCUGCACAUGUUCUGCCUGUAAAGGGAGACCCUUGUCUCCACACUAAAGUCACAGAAAUAGAGAUGACCCUGCUCGGCUGGGAAGAUGCCAAGCCCUCCGCACAGGAGUUCCUUCCAAAGAUCAGGCAAGAGUAUUACACUUCAUGGCAAAACCAUCUCCCAUUGACCGAGUAGAACACUCCAGCGUGCAAACCAGGCAACUGAGUUGCAGAUGCUGGCCUGGGCAGGCGUACACGCAGCUGGACCACGCUGAGAGACCGUAACCUGCCCGCAUAGCAGAAAGGAGCGGCUGAGCUGCUCACGCCCCUCGCUGCCAGGGCAAGGCACCCCCGGGGCACGGAACCCCCAGGGCACGGCACCCCCGGGUGCUCCUCUGCCCCGGUUUGGAAGCUCCUGUCCUGCUGUCCUGCCCAGCGGAGUUCGAUGGGAAACGAUUCCCAAUGCCCCAGAAGCCUUAGGCAGGCAGCCAGGUCUUCAAGCCCCUUGCCGAAGGGGAGACUGCGUUUCUGCUUCGCUAAGUGCUCUGUGAUCUCGCACUUGCAAAGCUUCUAGAGGCUUUUUCCUCCCACUGCACCUUAGCAAUUCAUUGAGAGGUUUCUACGGGUCUGAAAGGGAACAGACGGACAAACUUUUGACGUAUGGAAAGAUGGGGUGGAACAGUUGCAGAAAUUUCCCCAAGGGGCCAUCAUUAAGCCCAGAGCAAAGGGUCAAUAGCUGCUGCACUCUCCUGAAGAUGGCCCGGAGGGAGGUGGUGACAGGUAACAUGCUGAGCACCUUCCAAAGCUCCCCAGACAUCUCCUGUGACCUCAGGGAACAGCGGCUUCAUUGCCUGUCUUUACCUAGCAGAGACCCCGCGUCAUCUUGCUCCCAUGUCCAUCUACUCACGUAGAAAUAAAUCAGACGCAAACACCAAGCCACAAGUUGCGCUUGAGAAAUAUAACUAUCUUGAGAAAUGAGCAUAUAACAGGGGAACUGUACAGUCCAGGAGCCGCCUUAUUCCCCCACUCCUCUGGGCACAGGCUUUUUUUAAAUACAGGAACUCACUGUUGACGCUUCAGGACUGAAUAUCCUGCAGAUGAGGAAACGUGGGACAAGGACAGAUGCUCGGCUGGUAUGAAAAAUCACAGCUCCACGGCCAUUGCCCGACGGCAGCCCCGGCCACCACCACACCUCCCAGAGGAGGCGACUUCCAUCACUCAGACAGAGGAACGGAAAGCUCAGAAGCACAGCUGAAAAUCUAUCUUAUUUCGAGCAACCUAGUGGAACUCUGACUGCUCAACACUUCUGAAAACACCCACCCGAACUGUCCCACGCUGAGCGUCCAAGGAACGAACAGCCAAUAUUAGUCAACAAUCUGGGAAGUGUUGCCUUGCCAAGGUCACGUAAGUCUGUGGCAGGAGAAGUAACAGGAUCAUCUGGCUCUUCUCCUGUUUCUCGGCCACAAAACUGUCUUCCUCCCCUAACAAUUACAUAUGUGGGUUUCCUUAACAGUUUCUUUUUACAUUCCUGUUUAAACAGCACAGGGAAAGGAUGAGGAGACUUGAUGUAGAAAAUUAGUUUUGGAAAUGUUGAGCAGUGUGGAUUUGCCAACUCCUAUUCCUCCAGUCAAGUCACUGUAGAUGCUCUCAGCUCUCACCGAAACUCUAUUUUUAGGCUAUAUGUCAAAUUUCACAACUGAGACUGACAGGAUUUUUUCUAAAGGCUUUUCCUGAGAACUGAAAAAGAAAAACAACGUGGAAAUUCUGCUUCCCCCUUUGUGCUGCUGGGGCUCCACCUCGGCUGCCCCAGGGCAGAGCUCCAAAGGGACCGGCCCCAUAGGACUGUCCAGAGGUUCCCAGCACAAGGGAGAUGUUCAGGCCUUAUAUAUCUAAUGAGGCACGUGGAGCCUCAAAAUGUUCUGCAGCAGAACAAAGCAGGUGCAGAGCAGGUCUUCAAAAACACAGCUUUCUAAUAGAAUCCUUCAGCUGUUGCCAGAGCUGUAGCCUUUAAAAAUGAGAAGGCCAGAAAUGCAGAGGUGGCACCUUUCAUUACAGUGAAAUACCAGCAAAGCCUCCGGCAGCAACAGCCGUUGCCGUUGCAGUGUUUGUUGAGCACUUGUCAUGCUGUUGGACACGCACAUUAAGGAAUUAGAGUUUCUGCAUGGCUAUUUCCUGAAGCUAACAGGUGUUCAAAGCCAGCUCCCAGCUCUGCCUGCCGUCCAGAUAUAAGGAACUUGAAGAAGGUUUAACUUUGGGUUUUUUUUUAGAGGGACACUCUGCACUUAACAUCUUUGCUCUGGCUAUUUUGAUCAGGCCAUGUAGAUCCUGGCAGCCCUUGUUGACAGAACAGGGCUGCAAUGAGGGCAUCUCAUCCGCACAUAAACCAAUGGCUCAACUAAAAAAAAUACUGCUGUGAAAGACUUGCUAUUGCAGUGUCGCUAAGUAUUUUUAUUCAAUAUUCACAUGGAUAUUUGAGACUGCCUGAUGAUAAUGCAGAUUGUUUCAAGUAUUUCAGGGCUAUUUAUCUGUAAAAGACUUUGGACAAGUAAUCCAGCUAGAUUUCAGUUUGCAGAUCCAUGUGUCUAGAUAUACGAUUGCAUGGUUCUAUAGAGAAAACGUAGCGUCACUGUGCUGGCCCAGGGCGGUGAGUUCACACAGGUGUAACUGAGCGCGGAAUCCACCUCCCAAGGGUUUUCUGGUGCUUCCUGAAGCUGACAAGAUUAAUUUAGCAAUCUGGAAAUCUGUUGCCAAGCCGAAGUCCCCAGAAGACUGCAUAGCAAUAGGAAGAUUAAAAGCAGAUGGUCCAGCAACCAAGGUUUUACGGUUAAACUUUUAACAGACUUAAAAUUCUUGGGCUUCAUAUCAGCAUCUUCAUUCUUCCCUUCAAUUCACCGUGUGCUAGUAUCUUUUGAACACUUCCGUAAGACAUGAAGCAAAGCACAUCACGCUAACAAUAUGACCUCAAAAAAUAUAUAGACCUUUCUGAUGGGCUUAAUAAGAGGUUAAGUAAAUCUUGAUUCUUGCUCAACCCAAGUUCUAUGCAAUUAGACCAUCUCCACAUCAAUAAUUUCCACAAAAGGAUGCUGGAAUUUAAAAUAUGAAGAGAGAACAUUUUUGGGAGGGGUGUUAGCAGCCGAGCCCGUUAAAUACAAUUUACAGUUGCAGUUGACAAGGAGCCUCCUCCAUUAAGGUGAGGCAUUUGACAAGGGUUGAGGGUGGCUCCUGGGAGCGAUGGCCGCACGCCGCUCCCGAGUCCCCGCUCCUGUCGGAGCCACCAGCCCCUCUGUUGGCCCCUGGGGAUCUGCUAGAAGCAACAACAGCUCUGGAAGUUACCUGACCAACUGAACAAUGUCUCUGUUUGGCCUGGGCUCUCUCGGCUCUCGCUGCAUUGAAUACAAAUCAAAUACACAAAAAAAUCUCCACUUGUCAUUUCUUCUUCUCCAGUGCCUUAGAAAACAUCUUAUAACACAAGCCCAGGAUCACACCUGACUUCGUGGCCACCCCGUGCAGAAGCUGAAUGCCAGUGCAGAGCUAGCAAGGACGCAACAGCCCUUUCUUCACAUCAUCUGCACUGAACAGCCUCCAGAUUCUCUUUCUAGGGGUCAUUUCGGCGAGCUCUCACAAAGGCACACCGCAGGGACCAAGCAGCAGCUCAGUCUCUUCAUGAACGGUAAAAGAGAGCUCUGCACUAACAGCCUUUCUUGCCCAGAGUACCUUGUGAUACCAAGGCAGCCUCGCACACCAUCAGCCCUGGGGCUCUGCAGGGACAGAUGCCCAUAUCGCACAUCAGGCCCAUGGCAGCACACAGAACACAGCAAGAGAAGUAACCGCAACGCCUGAUACUGAAGCCUUCACCCCAACAACACAGCUGGUCUGAUCCUCCCCAUCCCUGCAGACAGAAUUGCAGGACUGUUUCAAACUCACCCCACAUUUCUGCCCACCACAUUGUGCUGUUCUGCAUGCGAAGGGGAGCGCCGCUUUACCCGCUCCAAAUGCCGCUUUGAAGGCAAAAUUAGUUGCAAGGACAAAAAACUGCACCUGCAAAAGCUGAGGAGGUCUGCUUUGAAAAACCAAACCCCAAAAUACAUGCGGACACAUGAAAACAGCGGCCAAACCUCAACUUAAAUCUUCCAUAUGAAGUGUAAGGAAUCAAAUAACCAUCCAGAAAAGAUGUCUGCAAAAUAACUUGGCUCAUAAUACUUUCAUUUGGGUUAAAUUAAAAUAAUUGUAAAUCUUCAGCACGCAGCAUGAGAGCUUCAUUCUGUGUAAAACAGUACGCAUCCCAUUAAGCUUUACACUCAGUUCUACAAAAAUGCUUUGAAAACCAGACCGAGUUGCCUUUCCUUGAGCAACCAAUCGCAAAAGUGCAAGAAAGCAGAAUAAGCUCCAUGAGUGAACUUUCUCCAUUGCAGUUCACCAGAGCUCAAAGAGGCAGGUGAACAGGAGGGGCACAAGAAACAUUCUUUGGAAUGACGUGGAAAAGCAUCGUUACACACUGAUCUCUUGGAGCAGUGUUAAGCCUCAGCUGUGCAUGAGUGAGAAGCCAGUGCUAAGGUGACUAUCUCACACAUAAACACGGUUUAUCUAAUGAUCCUUUCCUAAUGACUUCCAAGUUGUGACUUCCCGGGCAUCCUGGAGGUUUAAGGAAAGAAGGUGUCCAGCCACAAAGGCUCCUCACACACAAAGAACGGAGCCUUCUUGGCUGCCACUCAGCUUGGUGGGGAGAAAGACACUUUGGACAUCAUUUCCCAGGAUUUUUGCUAAAUCCAGAGGAUCAAGAAAAGCAAAGGAGGUGAAAAAUCACCUCCGUUUACAACUAUGUUAAAUCAUUGCUCAUCACUACAUCUCACACAGUUCUCGUGUGCUUCCACCACACGGGGAGCUCGGAUUUUGUAGGAACUCAGCCCUGGCCAUGUGGGCAGAGCAGAGUUCUCACUCAUGCCUGGGUCUUAUUGAAGCUCUCAUUGACUUGGUGAGGCUUGGAAUGAAUCACACACUUUCUCCAGUCCAGCUGAAAACAGUAUUAAAAUUCCCACCCCACAGCUGUAUUGGCACCAAGUGCCAACCUUGAAGAGGGUUUAGGAAUCUUUGCUAAAGGUGGCACGGGUUAAUGAUUAAUUGGCACAGAUCUGCUCACUUGUUCUUGUAGAGGAAGAGUUCAGAGUAAGUUAAACCCCAACACAUGAAUUUAUUUCCAGAGCUCUUUCUGAAAUUGCUCCUUAUUUUGGUUCCAAUAAAUCUUACAUUCCAGCCAUGCUUCCCUAAUAGAUACAGGCAUAAAUUCUUAUUUCUAGUUGGCCAGAUUUGUGACAAAAAAAAAGGGAAGAAUAAAGCAAAAGCUGCAGCUAGCAUUUACCUAUCUCUAUCCUGCAGCUUUCUUUCUCAUGACUCCUGCAGCUCUCACACUUAGAGGCAGCCAAGCUCCCACAUGCAGCUCUAAUGGAACACCUCUCCCCCAGCAUCCAACCGCAGGGCUCACUGGGACCACAGCUGCAAAUGAAAACCACUGUACACUUCCCAAACAAACACAGCAAUGAUAGAGCAGACAAUACCUUGUAGAGCUGAAACAAGAGCCAUCCGAAGAUUUCAAAGUGCUUUACAGACAUUCAUAAUUUAAGACAAUCCACACCCUCCUAAAGGUGAUACUGGGUCCUUGUUUUGCAGCUGAAGAAUAGAGGCAUUAGAAGAUGAAGGGAUUGAGGAGCACGGAAGAGUGAGGCGCCACUGCACAGGGUCCUGCUCACAGCAACUGGACUUGGUGAUGGUUUCUGCAGGCACCGGAACCAUUGCUGCAUGCUUCCGAAGCUUGCUUUAUCAAUUCCGCUGUUUUAUUUCCUAAAUUACACUCUUGGAUAUUGUUAUCCCAUCCUUAUUACCCACAUCCUCUCCUCUGAUCUGAAGCCUGUUGUUUCAGUCCAUGUUAGGCUGUCUGGCAGUCAAUGGUGACACUGGAAACCAAGGGCUUCUGCUAUUUCCACAUCACUCGGGCAUGGACUGCACUGGCGAGACAGCUACAGUGUUUUAGCUCUUUUCUAUACAUUAGAUAUGACUAAUAACUUAUUAAGCAUACUCUAUUUCUACUGACUUUCCUGCCCAGGCUGUAGACUUUCUGACACUGAACAAGCGAUGGCUUUAAUAAGAUGAGCUAUUAUUUCCAGGACGAAACUGGGGUACCAGCCUUUUCAAGCAGGGUCUGUUCUGGAGUAGGGUUUUUGUUCAGCACAGGUUCUGUUUACUGAAUAACUCUCUAAGUUUCAGACCCCAGGUUACAAAUUUUAAUUGAUGUACACAAAGUUAGAAGAGGUGCUGCCUCUCCUGUCUCUCCCUGCAGACUGUGAGACUGGGGAGUUUAAAAGCAAAGAUUUUGCUCUUCACUGCCAUAAAACGUACCUUCUCACUCUAUAAUUAAUCCCAGUGAAAUGAAACAAAGCAGCCUAACGGAUUCACCUGUAGUGGUGCAAUGUGCAAAAUGGCUGCUUGAAAAUACAACUUCAGAAGUGCUGUUCUUUGGCUUUUCUAGUGUACCCCCUAACGAGCAUCUUGUACAUGAACAUCACAGAGGACAGGACAGAGAGAUGACGACAACAAAAGGCUUCUACAGCACUAGGCAGAGGUGAAGCAGCGCUGAGCUAUUCUGAAUUAUAAAUGAGAAGAACAAAUGUAAAGGCAGUGCGUCUCAUGAAAAGUCAAAACCAAACACAAGGCUUACCUCAGCCUUGUACAAGCUGAAAAUAGGGAAUCCAGUUUGCUUCUGAGCUGAGCUAAACUCACAGCUAAGGAAGAACACUGGGAGAGAAACCAAACCUAUAAAGAGCCGCAGGAAUGCAGCGAUAUUGCUGUAAGUCCUCGCUCCAGUCACAGGUGUAACCAGGUGUAGUUGUGCCGAGGGGAGGGGACACGCUCCCUGCCGCAGUGUCUCAUCUGAUGUGUUACCUUCUCUUAUCCAAAAUAUAUCCCUUCAGAUUACAAUUUCUUCAAGAGGGAGCAGUACCUGAGACCAAAUAGAGAUUAGUUUGAAGCUCAUGGAGCUUGUAAGCAGGAAGAUCCUAAAAGGCACAACUUUCCCCACUGAAAAUCAAGAAAACCUUCCUCAAGGUUAAACUAGCACUGUCCUGAGAACACAUUCACCACGUAAGCCACAGCUGACAGCUCAAAUUCACUUGCAAUACUUAAGACUCAGUUCUUGAAAAAUAUGCACAACAAAUGAUACUACAGAUGCUGGUAAAUAAUUGUGCAAUAGUACUGAAAAGAGACAAAUAUAAACAAUAUCACGGAGCUGAAAUAAUGAUAUUUUAUUCUUCAAAAGAAAAAGAUACAAAGCUGAGAUUUUACUGAUGGAGUUUAGUUUAGGAAUUAGUCGUCAUUAUACAAGAGCAAUUCGAAUACCCCAGCACACGACAUGUCACAAGAAAAAAUCAUUCAAAUCUUGGCUGUAUUUUAACUGUAUCAAUUAAAGUUGUACAACACAGUAUGAAAUCAGAUAGAAAACUUAUUUCAAGCAAAUAUUUAUAUAGAGCUACUAAAUGACAAGGAUUUGGUUUAAUUGGCGAGUAAAUGGAGCUGGAGGUUGCUGAAGUAGUCUCUAGCAACCAGGAAGAUCACUGGGGCAGAACAAAUGGGUUUCAUCUGUUUUGUGUGUCUGCAUUUUAAGCCUUUGAGACACGAUAGUAAAUGUAAUAAGAACAUUGUAUAAUGAAGACGGGUUGAAAUAAUGAGUUUGGGGUGAGAGGGUGAAGCAGUGACUUGUGUAGCAGCAUUUCAGCGGGGAAGCAGAGGGAAGCUGACAGAGUUUCUGCCUGGAAAGGGACGAGGAAAAGUGCAUCACUGCAAUAAACUAAUGGAAAUCCUCCAAAAACCAAGGUGGCAGUUUAGAUAUGGAGGCCAGCUUUACCAGCCCCAGUGAAUUGCUGCAGUACCAAGAAAGCUUAGGGGUACUGCAGGCAAGAGUCAAAGCUCUAGGAGAUGGUGAAAAAGGUUUGGAGAGCAGAGAGAGACGAAUGGAGACGGUUCACAAACUUUAAUGCAGCACUCACUUGAACGGACAAGGCACAAUCCUUCCCAACAGAGUCGACCCAGAGACAAGACCAAGACACUGCUCUGGCAACGCGAACACGUCUUCACGAGCACUGAACGCUUCCCUCAGCAUCUCUGUUAGCAAAGCUUUACUCCUCCACAUCUCCAAAAGAAGCUGCAAACACCAUCUGAACAGAUCUAUGGGCCAGGAUAAUCUACACCAGCUGGAAAUCUGACCCACCUAUUUAAUGCAAGGGAAUAGUCAUGACUUCUUUCCUGCUGCAUUGACUAAGAUCUCCCCAACCCUCAUCUGAGAACUCUCCAGGCAUUGGGAUAUCAACCACAGAACAGCGAGUGGAAAUCCCCAGCCAAGAAUAAAACAUACGUUUAAUAAAUGGUUCUUCAGAAAAAAAUUAAAAAAAAAUAAAAAGUGGGGGAGGAGGAAGAAAGGAAAAGGUUUGUAGCUGUGAGAUCAUAAGAGUCCAACCAUAUAAGUGAUGACUAAGUGUAAUCUUGUGUUUCAACAAGAUGAAGAAAAACAUGUUUUUGAAACUCGAGUCUGGUGUGUUUCCAGCCAACAUAUAUUCUUUUAUUGGCCUGCAAGUGACCCUUUCAACUUGGGCUUUUCUCCAGCCUGUGGGUCCACAGCAAUGAUUAGAGAGCAGAAAAUCCCUGCUACUGGCCAGCUGUGCUCCAAUUCACCUUCCUCAACUGUGCCUAUAAAUGUAAUUGCUUGUUUCCAUGGAAUUGCAUCAGAAUGACCUGCUCACCCCUCACAUAAUUCAUAUAUCUGCGAUCUCUGUCUCUGUAGAUAAAAAUCUCUUUCUUCUGCCCAUGUAUGAAAGCACUGAGAAGACAGAGUCAAUUCUUCAUCAACCAAGGAAAUGGAAGGAGCAGAUAACCCAGAUACAGCAAAACUGUGAAGAGUGCAAAGCGUAGGUAAAUUAUGUCCUAAAAUGCACAAUGAGAAUGGGGAAAUAGAGAAGAGUUUAGUGCUGCUGCUGGCUAUAGACCACGUAUCACCAUCAACUGGCAGGUCUACACCAGGCAGUGCAGCACAUGUGGAUACAGCACGUUGAGCCCAGCUCAGCAUCUCCAGUACUACCAUGGACAGUCUGUCUAGGGACAGCUACAGUUCCACUGCUGCUGUACAAAUGGUGCGGACAAACACCGGAAAACACCCAAGUCACAGUUCAGGUGAGAACAGAAACGUCUCCUGCUAACCCAAAGGAACUGCCUUCCUAACAGAGGAACUGAGCACGUUCUGCCCCAGCUCAGCCUCUCCUUUGGCAAGAGCCUGGAUGAUCCAGGUAGAAAAUUUUGGAUCCAAGACAAUAAACCCAUGAUUCAGUUUCAAGAUGGGUCAGGUCAUCCAUGAAGAGAGAUAUAGACAGAGAGCAGGGAUGAGAAUUCACCUCCUUUGCUUACAAAAGCCAGAGAAGAGGAAAAUCAACUAAAUGUUACAGACUGUGAAAUGAGUAAAAUGUCUGGGAGGCUGUUUUCUUGGUAACAAGUAAUGUAAGCAGACUUUUGUACUCGGGCAUACACGUGAACUCCACAGAGACGUAAGUGAACUCCCUCCGUUCCAAGGCUGCCGUAGGAUGGACGUUCCCAUCGCGCUCCCUCCUGGACCCAGCACCGCUUCCUGCCAGGCCCUUCCCGCGGCGCGGCAGCCCCGCUCCUGACAAUGACUGAGCAUCGGCACUAUUGUAACCAAAAAAUUAAAAUAUGUUCCCAUUAAAAAAUCUGGAUGAUAGCAAUUAAUUCCACAUUUUUGUGAAUAAAUAUCAUGAGUUUUGUGCCAAAGCAAUUUGGCUUGUUCGUAGAAGCUAACAGUGACACAUAAAUCUAUUUUCCCUCUUGCUCAACCAUCUCACUCUGCCAACCAGAUUUUGCAGUGGAAGAGGCUUUUUCUUUCUGUCUUUCAGUCAGCACCUUGAAUGGUGCUUGCUACCCACCUUUGCAUCAACCUCUGGGUUGCAAACUUACUCAAAGCUACUGAAGUCAAGGGAGUCCUGUGACUGCUUGGGGUUUUCACCAACCACAGACACGGAUUAUUUUAUUUCCAAGAGCUGCCCCACCAUCUCCCAGGACUGAUCUCAUUCCAUUGGAGUCAAUGCCCAGGAUCAAUCCCCUGUUCUGUUGCCAGACGCAGCAGAACAGACGUGCUGGAGCACCCCGGUUCCACUGACCCCAGUUCCCCGUGCACAGCGAGGAACGAGCGCUCCCCUGGCACCCCAGAAGGAACAACAAAUGACCGACGUCUGAGCGGAGAACGGUCAGGUCAUUCCGAAGAAAAGCUCAUACACCCCUGCCUUUUCCCAGCUGGAUUUACUUUGUUUUACUCCACCAAUUUCAAUGUAUUGAAUUGUAGAAGUGUAAAACCAAAGUAAAGCUGUAUGGAUUCUGGCUGUUUGGAAGCUUUACAGAUGUUUGCUGGCCUUCCAUGGGAGAAGCAUCACCAUUUUAUUGACCGAGCUCUUUUUCAUUUUAAUAUGGAAAACCUCAGUGGUGCUUCACUCCAUUUAUCUUUUUUUCUUAUAUAGUCAUAUGAUAAUGUACACUUAUAACCAGUGAAUCAUCCCCCCGAAAAGUCAUAAAGAGAAAAAUAGCUUGUAUGUAUGCCUCAGCGGUCAAUGAAUCAUUGACGACAGGUAUAACGGGAAUAAUUAUAUACUGCCGAGAAACUUUCCCCCCAGCCCAGCCCAGCUCAGAAGGCUAGUUUCAAAACUUGAGAGUUGUGCACUGGGAUCCAAGGUUGCGAGUGCCAGGUUAAGAAACAGCCAGGAGAAUUGCACAUUUGUGUUACUGCAAGGAAAUAUCCUCUCCAAGUGUCUGUUAUGUGUUGACAAAUAGUUUAUACUUAACCAAGCAAUAAUAAUGAACAGUCUAAAUAGACAUUGAUUUUUAUAUUUUUAAUUCACUUUUAGUGGGAAAAUAUCCUGGCAACAGAAAUAUGGAUGUCAGGCUUUGGAUGCCAGCCACUGCUUUACAACUGUGCUAUUUUAAGCAGUAAUAUGUAUUAUUUGGUAUAACAACAUAUAUUUUUAGGGUCUAAUCCUGGAAGUUCCUACUCCAAUGAGCUCCAGUCUUCCAAUCAAAGUUUCUGGGAUUACACAUGUGAAUGUGGAUUUGUAGCAGACAGCGUCCACACAAAAAAAGGUUUCAGUCUCAAUGCAGUUUGCCUGCUGCCUCCUAGAAAUAGUCAAAAUACGAAUGUAAGGACACUGCUCAAGUGUUAAACCCUUCCCUAAGCCAGCUCAAAGACACAUACCAACUACCAGAAGACAUGUCCACUGCAUCAAGUCGGCUAUAGAAGGUGGCUUUGAUAUCCCAGUGUGGUGACACCACCUAUUUUGAGUGGCGUGUAUCACACUGAGCAGCCUGCAUGGGCUGGGGUUGUGUCCUGGGCUGAGCUCAGCCCCAGCGCCAGCACUGGCAGCCCCCAAGCUUUUGGACGUCUUUAAUCAGAGCAGAGCCGGGUCCCACAAUCACCCUCGCAGAAAAGACAGGAGCUAUUUUGUUCUCAGAUCUGCUGAAGCCUGUUUGAGAGAAGAGACGCGCAAUUGUGCCCUCUCACAGUAACAUACCUGUGUCCGCUCCUGUCAGUGUGUGAUUUGAAUUCUCUUAAAGCGCAGAAUUCCUCAACACAAGGAAAACUAACAAAACAGACUAUGGAUGAACCAGAUCCACCGUGUGCCACGUGAGCCCUGCCAUCUGCCAAUGGCAAACAGAAGUCUAUAAGCGCCAGAUAGGCUCUUCCUCCAAACAUCCCAAUGGUCCAAGGAAAGGGUGAUCAGCACCAUCCUGCUCCAGGCACAGCAGUACAGAGCUGCACACCAGCCUUUCAUAAAGUCAGUGAAGCAAUAAUCACCCAUACCUGGGAGGAGAAAGUGGUUACAGAACUCCUUCAGUGGAGAGAAACAGGAACAUUCUGAGAGCAACUAACUCAUCUGAUCCAUCUUAAACAUCCGUCUUAGCUGAAUCACCCUCUGGAGGUUCCCAUUGCCCCUCAUCACUGCGAAGGGAGCGCGGCUCCAGCUGUGUCCAGCUCAAACCUACAUGUCUGAUUUCUGGAUGCCUUGAGUUAGAGCAGAAAUAUCUCACCCUUAGCUGGGAAAGUAGUUGAAAAGAGAUGAGUGGCUGUUGUUGCAUUUCUGGGAAAUGUGAGAUAUUAUAUGACCUGUUAAUUUAUUCCAGAGUUUCCCUUUAUGCUUUAACAAUACCGUUCAGUAUUCAAUUCAAGUCAUAAUGCUUAAUGGCUUGUGGUCAGCUAAGCUUAUCCUGCAUUUCUGUGCCAGCUUAAAAAAUAAACAAAGCUGUGUCUACUGAAUGGCACAA